ensembl:lncRNA
GAGAGACCAAUGGGCUUCCAAGAGGACACAGUGAUGGUUGGCAAAGGGGGAUGAGGCGGUUGGCAGGGUGUUGAGUGCAUCCGGGCACCGGCCUUGUCUCAUAUCUCCACAUGGCCCAGAGGUCCCAUUCUGGUCAGCAGAGCACUCAGCCGGAUUCCCUCCUGGCCGCUCCCAGCAACUCCCAAGGGGAGAGCCAAAACCCUUCGUCCAGCACCUUCAGGUCCCGGGUCACUAACCAAGACUCUCAGUCCUCCCCCCAGACUCGCCGGGUCAGUAUCCAAGAGCCGCUGCCUAUCAUCCACAGUCGCCGGGUCAGUAUCCAAGAGCCGCCGCCCAUCACCCACAACCGCCGGGUCAGUAUCCAAGACCCUCAGCCCAGCACCUCGACUCGCCGGGUCAGUAUCCAAGACCCUCUAUCCAUCAACAGUCAGCGACUCAGUAUCGAGGACACAACGUCUGUCAUCGGCUGUCACCGGGCCAGCAUCCAAGACCCACUAUCCGUCACCUACAGCCGCCAGUUCCACACCCGAGAUGCUCCCCCAUGUUUCCAAAGUCGCCUCUUCAGCAACCAAAACCCCUUGCUAACUACUCGCACCCCUCUGACCAACAUAAGAUCAGUAACCUGCCACAGCCAACUUAGUGUCCAGAGUCCCAAGUUAAGUCUUCAAACCUCCACGUCACCAGUCCGGGCCAGAGUCGACGUACCCCUUUCAAUUACUCACAGUCCCGAGGCCAGUAUCAAAAGUGUCGAGUCAAUUGUCUGGACCUCCCAGGAGACCAUCAGAGACUCUCUGAGCAGCUCCCAAACCAGCCAGUCCAUCCUGGAAAACAACGCUCAGAACUUACCAUCGGCCUCCUUCGAGAACAAUGCUGGCAGGUAUCUGGGCAAGUACAGGCUCAGCCACUCUCAGCUCCCCAUGGGCUGGUGGCUGCUGCACGAGGCCAAGAGGAUCAGCCGCCAGCUGAACCUACUGCUGAGUCUGGCCAGCAUAGUCAUCAUCGGCCUCAUCUCUCUGGACCAGCCCUGGAUCCACUUCCAGGUGCCUCUGGCACCCCUGGGGGACCCUGGCUUCCGGACCAUCCCCAUCGACACCGUCUUUGUCGUCCGCUGCUCGGAUAUGGCCUGCCUGCACGAGUAUGACCAGAACGCUUGGACCAGCCUGAUCCUGGGUAUCCUGUUCUACCUGAUGCAGGCCCAGGAAUACCUGCAGGAAGGCAUGACCUACAAAUUGGGGUGCAGCUUCUACCUGGCAUGGACCGGAGUCUUCUUCUUCGUGAUGAUUGGUUUCUUUUCCUAUUUGAACUACAUAAAUUUCUGGUCCCUCCUGGCGAGCCAGGCCAUCUGGACUUAA